GAGUCACUGGCCCCGUCCGCAUCCUUCUCCAGCGGCCCCGGGGGCCGCCGCGCCUUAACUCGAUCAGGGCUGCAGCGGCUCGCUGGCUUGACCAGUGCAGAAGGGGCGUGGAGGUGAGCGGGGUGGGGUAGGACUCUGAACUUCAAGCACUGGAGUUUGCCGGGAUCGUGAACUUGCAGGGAGAGGCGGUCCUCAUCCAGUGAGGUCUGUAUCGCCACCUACACCCACACAUCCACACACUGCUUUGCUAGCUAGAGGAAUGCUCUGGAGUAGGACCAGUGCUGUCAAAGAAGGAAAGUGGGCCAAGGCGCCAAAGUCCAUUAAAAAGGAAUAGAGCCAUCACGGAGUGGUGCUGCCCCAUUCAUUCAUUCAUUUGUUCAUCCGUGUAGCGAAUAUUUCUUAAGUGCCUUACUUUGCGUAGCUGUGUGCUUGGCAGUGGGAUGAUACCAAAGAUGCACAAGCAACUUUGAGUACCAAGACUUUGCCGCUGUGGGCUGGGGGAUUCAGGGAAGGCUUUCCCAGAGGAGCUGGGAUGAAAGCAGGAUCUUGAAAGGUCAGUAAAAUUUGUAUAAGACAAGGAGACCAGCUAAGCUAAGGAUAUUCGUUGUAACACUGUAAUAGCAAAACCUUGAAAACAACAUAAAUGCCCACCCUUAGAGGAAUGGAUGAAUAAUGUAUGGUAUAUUUAUAAAAUGAAAUGCAACACAGUAAUUGAAAAGACUAUAGCUAUUUAUGUCAAUAGGGAUAAAUCUUAAAAACUAAAUGACAGUGAAAAUAAUCGCAGAGGGAGACAAAGUAUACCAUUUAUGUAUAUUUUUUUCAAGACAAUACUACACAUUAUCUGUGGAUGCAUAUAUAUAGAUAUAGAUAUUAAGAGACUAUAACCAGAAUAGUAGUUACUUCCAGGGCAGGAGAGUAGGGGGUGUGAUCAAACCUGGGUACAAGUGGGCUUCUAAGAAAAGAGCUAAAAGUAAGAACAACAACAAUAGUUGUAUGGACAUAUCAUUCCGGGAAAGAGCCCUCGUGAAAGCAAAGGUACAGUCAGAAGAGUAAGUAAAUGAGUUCUGUCUCUGUUAGCAGUGAGAGGAGUCAAGGACGGAAAGGGGGUUGGGACCAAAUUAUGCAGCCUUGAAUGGCAAGCUGAAAGGGUGGGGAGGCAGCUACCUCUUAGGUCACAUAAAACUAUUGAAAGUUUUUGAACAGAGUUGAGAUUGAUGGAAAGGAAGAUUGCUCUGAUAAUUCUGUAGAAAAUUGAUUGUUGGGAGCAAGAGGUGAACUGGAGCCCCAGGACCAGUCAAGAGUUGGUGAACAGUCCAGGCACAAAUUUAAGAAGACCUGAACUAAUAAGGUAGAUUUCAGAAGGAAUGAAUCUGAGACAAUGUUAAAGAAACAGAAAAAAAAAAUGGAGGUGUGACUAAUUGGAUGUGGGAGUUUACAAUCCUGUUGGGAUGAGAAAUCCUACCCAUAGAACCUCUCCCUGACUCCUAUAGGAUAAAAUUCAAACUUCUAAACAUGGUACAUACAAGGCCUUUUCGUCAUUGGGCCCCAUCUCCUGUCCUCCCUGCCCCUGUUGUGAACUUCACACAAUAACAGUAUUACUUGAGAUUCCCCCAAACAUAUCUUGCUGUUUCUGUCCCUGUAUCUUUUGUUCCUUUGGCUUGGAAUGACUCCUGUAGUCCCCUUCCCUCCUCCUCUUAAUGAACUUCUAAUCAUAAUUCAUCCUUCAGUCCAAAGAAGGCUUUGCCGACACCACAAUAAAUUCCUCCCUCUAACAGACAGUCCCUCCACUGUCUUCCACUGCCGCU
rnacentral:lncRNA from 1 species